UGGGGAAUUUUGGACAAUGGGGGAAACCCUGAUCCAGCCAUCCCGCGUGUGCGAUGAAGGCCUUCGGGUUGUAAAGCACUUUUGGCAGGAAAGAAACGUCAUGGGUUAAUACCCCGUGAAACUGACGGUACCUGCAGAAUAAGCACCGGCGAACUACGUGCCAGCAGCCGCGGUAAUACGUAGGGUGCAAGCGUUAAUCGGAAUUACUGGGCGUAAAGCGUGCGCAGGCGGUUCGGAAAGAAAGAUGUGAAAUCCCAGAGCUCAACUUUGGAACUGCAUUUUUAACUACCGGGCUAGAGUGUGUCAGAGGGAGGUGGAAUUCCGCGUGUAGCAGUGAAAUGCGUAGAUAUGCGGAGGAACACCGAUGGCGAAGGCAGCCUCCUGGGAUAACACUGACGCUCAUGCACGAAAGCGUGGGGAGCAAACAGG
rnacentral:rRNA from 1 species